AGAGCGUGAGGAAUCAAGCUGUGAAGUGUAACUCUUGGACAAAAUAAGUCACGGCCAAAAGCUGUAGACUUUAGUGAAUUUUUCCAGCAACUUUUCAGUGAUACUAGCCAGUUUUUUUGGUGUCUUGCUGCAACAGCAGAGUGCUUCACUUGGCAGUUGUGAGAUUAGUGUGAAAUCAAUCUAUUUCACUUCUUUUGAGAGAGACCAAAGCUGCAAUGUCCAAUACCUUUUCUUCUGUCCUGUUUGCAAGCUUUUGCAAAUUUUGAAUCAACUUCCAAAUACUGUUUUAACUGCAACCUUCAUAAAAUGAGUUUUUGGAACCAAAUUGCUUAAACUGAUUUUGUUUAAAUCAUACGGUGCACUGAUUUGAAUGUACAAUGCUAGUCAAUAUCAGAUUGCCUAAGAUUUCGGUAAGGUACUGUUGAACCAAUUGGAUUAAGUUCCAAAUUUUCUUUCAACUUUGGAAGCAAUCUGUCUUUAACUUAAUCUGCAAUAAAUCAGUUUACAUAAAAGUGGUUCCUGCACUUUACUUUCCAGUCCUAAUGCUGAUUAACCGUGCUGAUAUUCAAUUAGCACUUGUAGUCUUUGUUGUUUGAUGUGUUGCAGCUAUAAUUUCAACAGCAAGGAACCAUUGGCUGCAACAGUGGAAAUUGUGGGAAUUUUCAAC
rnacentral:lncRNA from 1 species